rfam:Ipomoea nil DNA, scaffold: scaffold1770, cultivar: Tokyo-kokei standard.
AUACCUUUCUCGGCCUUUUGGCUAAGAUCAAGUGUAGUAUCUGUUCUUAUCAGUUUAAUAUCUGAUACGUGGGCCAAUGGUCCACACGAUAUUAACUCAAUUUUUUUAGGGAGAAGGCCCAUUAAGGUAGCUUGCUACCUGGGCUCUCAAGCGUCGCCGUUGUGUUGCACUAUUGCUUCGGCCUGGCGCAUCCCAC